GACGAACGCUGGCGGCGUGCCUAAUACAUGCAAGUCGAACGCACUCUCGUUUAGAUUGAAGGAGCUUGCUCCUGAUUGAUAAACAUUUGAGUGAGUGGCGGACGGGUGAGUAACACGUGGGUAACCUGCCCUAAAGUGGGGGAGUAACAUUUGGAAACAGAUGCUAAUACCGCAUAAAACCUAAACACCGCAUGGUGUAGGGUUGAAAGAUGGUUUCGGCUAUCACUUUAGGAUGGACCCGCGGUGCAUAGUUAGUUGGUGAGGUAAAGGACUCACCAAGACCGUGAUGCAUAGCCGACCUGAGAGGGUAAUCGGCCACACUGGGACUGAGACACGGCCCAGACUCCUACGGGAGGCAGCAGUAGGGAAUCUUCCACAAUGGACGAAA
rnacentral:rRNA from 1 species